CCUACGGGAGGCUGCAGUGGGGGAUAUUGCACAAUGGGGGGAACCCUGAUGCAGCGACGCCGCGUGGGUGAAGAAGCGCCUCGGCGCGUAAAGCCCUGUCAGCAGGGAAGAAAAUGACGGUACCUGAAGAAGAAGCCCCGGCUAACUACGUGCCAGCAGCCGCGGUAAUACGUAGGGUGCAAGCGUUAUCCGGAUUGACUGGGUGUAAAGGGGGCGCAGACGGCGAUGCAAGCAAGGAGGGAAAGCCGGGGGCCCAACCCCGGGACUGCUUUUGGAACUGGGUGGCUGGAGUGCAGGAGGGGCAGGCGGAAUUCCUGGUGUAGCGGUGAAAUGCGUAGAUAUCAGGAGGAACACCGGUGGCGAAGGCGGCCUGCUGGACUGCAACUGACGUUGAGGCCCGAAAGCGUGGGGAGCAAACAGGAUUAGAUACCCUAGUAGUC
rnacentral:rRNA from 1 species